CAAACUCAUCACCACAACCCCUUUAUUUAACUGCUAUUUUUCCACGUUUUUCAAGAACUCAAUUUGUCAAUCUCAACUCCCAAAGCCCUAUAUAAACAUCAUCUAGGACACUAUUCCUCCUACAGAAAUUAUCUUCUUCCCCUAUCUUUGUCUCUCGGGGCAUAUACAUACUACAGCGUACACAAUUAUUUAUUUUGGUUUAACUUUACCAACAAUUCACCUAUGUUGUAUAUGUUCAUUUCCAGCAUCUGUUAUAUGCUAAAAUUUUGGUAUCAUUAUUGGACACUGUAAUGUUAAAUUUAAGAAUAUCCGAUAUCUCUACAUG
rnacentral:lncRNA from 1 species